CCGCAGUAGAACCUCGUCUGGGUUUGGGGAGUGUAACCAUGGUAAUACCGCAGUAGAACCUCGUCUGGGUUUGGGGUCGGUCAGUGUAACCAUGGUAAUACCGCAGUAGAACCUAGUCUGAGUUUGGGUCGGUCAGUGUAACCAUGGUAAUACCGCAUUAGAACCUAGUCUGAGUUUGGGUCGGUCAGUGUAACCAUGGUAAUACCGCAUUAGAACCUAGUCUGAGUUUGGGUCGGUCAGUGUAACCAUGGUAAUACGGUCAGUGUAUUCAGAGCAUGAACAUAUCCUGAGUUAGUAAAGAAAUACGAAAUGGAACAGAUUGGAUUCAUCAGGAGGGGAGUGUCCCCAGAGAGGUGAGACUACACCAUCUAGACUAGUGUCAGUCAUCAGGAGGGGAGUGUCCCCAGAGAGGUGAGACUACACCAUCUAGACUAGUGUCAGUCAUCAGGAGGGGAGGGGAGUGUCCCCAGAGAGAUGAGACUACACCAUCUAGACUAGUGUCAGUCAUCAGGAGGGGAGGGGAGUGUCCCCAGAGAGGUGAGACUACACCAUCUAGACUAGUGUCAGUCAUCAGGAGGGGAG
ensembl:lncRNA